rnacentral:rRNA from 1 species
CUUGGUGAGUAUAGCUAUGGGGGUACACCUAGUUACAUUCCGAACCUAGAAGUUAAGCCCAUAUACGCUGAUGGUACUUGGCUGGAAGCGGCCUGGGAGAGUAUGGAU